rnacentral:rRNA from 1 species
UCAUUAUCGAAUUAUAAGCAAAGGUUGUUGCUGGCCCCUCGGGGCAUGUGCACGCCCUAGCUCUCAAUCCACUUACACCUGUGAACUCAAUGUGGGACGUCCUUCGGGAUGAUUCUCAUGUCUUUCAUAUACUCUUAUGUAUGUCGCGGAAUGUCUUAUUGUUGCUUUAACGCAAUUAUAUACAACUUUCAACAACGGAUCUCUUGGCUCUCGCAUCGAUGAAGAACGCAGCGAAAUGCGAUAAGUAAUGUGAAUUGCAGAUUUUCAGUGAAUCAUCGAAUCUUUGAACGCACCUUGCGCUCCUUGGUAUUCCGAGGAGCAUGCCUGUUUGAGUGUCAUUAAAUUCUCAACUUCACCGAUUUGUUUCGAGUGAGGCUUGGACUUGGAGCGUGCUGGUCCUUUCUUGGGUCGGCUCCUCUUUAAAUGCAUCAGCGGAGUCUUCUUUGACUUGCGGUAUCGGCGUGAUAAUCAUGUUACGCCGUUGACCGA